AGGAUAAACGCUGGCGGCGUGCCUAACACAUGCAAGUCGAACGCGCUUUCGUCUUCGGAGGAGAGCGAGUGGCGGACGGGUGAGUAACACAUGGGUACCUACCCCACAGUGAGGGAUACCGGCGAGAAAUCGCCGACAAUACCGCAUAGGCUUCUCUUUGGAGACGAGGAGAAGCAAAGUUGCGCAAGCGACGCUGAGGGAUGGGCCUGUGGCCGAUUAGCUAGUUGGGGGGUAACGGCCUCCCAAGGCUUCGAUCGGUAGCUGGUCUGAGAGGACGAUCAGCCACACUGGGAUUGAGAACGGCCCAGACUCCUACGGGGGGCAGCAGUGAGGAAUUUUCCGCAAAUGGAGGCAACUCUGACGGAGCAAACGCCGCGUGCAGGAUGAAAGGUUUUCGGAUCGUAAAACUGCUUUUCUCGGGGACGAGCAAGGACGUACCCGAGGAAGAAGCCCGGCUAACUACGUGCCAAGCAAGCCGCGGUAAA
rnacentral:rRNA from 1 species